rnacentral:rRNA from 1 species
UACGUAGGGGGCUAGCGUUGUCCGGAAUCACUGGGCGUAAAGAGCGUGUAGGCGGCCCGGUAAGUCCGCUGUAAAAGCCAAAGGCUCAACCUUUGAAUGUCAGUGGAUACUGCCGGGCUAGAGUCCGGAAGAGGCGAGUGGAACUCCUGGUGUAGCGGUGGAAUGCGCAGAUAUCAGGAAGAACACCAACGGCGAAGGCAGCUCGCUAGGACGGUACUGACGCUGAGACGCGAAAGCGUGGGGAGCGAACAGG